CCUUCAGGCCAGAAGUCACAGGGACACCUGAAGCCAUGGUGACGCACAGUCUCAGAAAUUCUCGCUGCCUGCUCUUCUUCUUGUGCCAGGCUUUUUGAAGUGUCAUUACAGUCCCGCUAUUGACAGGGCGACUGGAAACUGGCUCCACACAACCUGACUUGGACUGGUCGCACCGCUCCGGACCUGCCGGCCGCUUCUCAGAGCUCCGUCGCUAGGGGGCACAGCAGAGCAAGCCAGCACCGAGCACUCACUGCGCCUGCUCCGGCGCCGGCGCCGGCGCGCGAGCCCGUCCGCGAGCCCGGCGAGCGCGCGCCUGUUGAGAGUGCGCCUGCGCGGAGCCCGUGGCCGCGCCCGCUCCCGCCAGCGGCUUGUCGCUGGCCUGCCGGGCCAUGGGGGAGGCCGAGGUGGGCGGCGGCGGCGCGGCGGGCGACAAGGGUCCGGGGGAGGCCGCCACGAGCCCGGCCGAGGAGACGGUGGUGUGGAGCCCCGAGGUGGAGGUGUGCCUCUUCCACGCCAUGCUGGGCCACAAGCCAGUCGGUGUGAACCGGCAUUUCCACAUGAUCUGUAUCAGAGACAAGUUCAGCCAGAACAUCGGUCGGCAGGUCCCAUCCAAGGUCAUCUGGGACCACCUGAGCACCAUGUAUGACAUGCAGGCGCUGGUGAGCUGGACCCCGCUCUCCCUCACCCCCACGCAUGAAUCUGAGAUUCUUCCAUUCCCGAAUCCAGAGAGGAACUUUGUUCUUCCAGAAGAAAUCAUCCAAGAAGUCCGAGAAGGAAAAGUCAUCAUUGAAGAGGAAAUGAAAGAAGAGAUGAAGGAAGAUGUGGACCCCCACAAUGGGGCUGAUGAUGUUUUUUCAUCUUCAGGAAGCCUGGGGAAAUCAACAGAAAAAUCCAGCAAAGACAAAGACAAGAACUCAGAUUUGGGGUCCAAAGAAGGGGCAGACAAGCGAAAGCGCAGCCGGGUCACCGACAAAGUCCUAACCGCAAACAGCAACCCCUCCAGCCCCAGUGCUGCCAAACGGCGCCGGACAUAGGCAUCUUGUGGUCAUGGGUGGUCAGCUGGCCCCAUUGUCUGUCCAGGAGAAGUUCCAGAAGCUUUAGCAGGGCCCAGUCAGCCCUUUGCGGCCCACAUGGACCAAAAGACCAGCCCAGGCUGCACCCAGACAUGGAGGGCUAUAAAUUGUGAUCUGGGUGCUAUUGUCCUUGGACACACGUCCUAGAAGCUCCGCCAGUGCCAAAACCUGAGCGCUGAGCUGUGCACUGAGGGACAAGGCAGGAGACCCCAGACAAGAAGCAAUAAAACAUGUCCUCUCCGCCUGAGGAGCAUGUCUUCCUGGUCCACCAACUGUCCAACUGCUGGCCACACUAAAAUGACCCCUCAGGAGAAAGCUGGGCCCUCCCACUCCACCUGGGAAACGAACUGGAUAUUUUGCCUCAGUCACCUGUACUGUAACGAUGUAUAUAAUUUGGUCCUUUCAUGGGAGAGCGAAGCAACCAGACCUGCAGGUCACCCUGCUCACUGGCCACUUGAGAAGCCAGCCUGCCUGCCUGCCUGCCUGCCUUUCUAAUGGGUCUUCACACAAGGAAGUCCAGCUUUCCAAGUUGUUGCUACCACUAAUCCCAGCCUUUGUUGGAAAAGCAAGAGGCAACUGAGCUCCUCUCCACCUCCCUGCCACUAAAACGAGGAGGGCAGAGGUGGCUACAGACCAUUGAGGCGAAGGGCCUAUACCUACAAAUUCCCCAAACCUACCAGCACUUUAGGCAUGGCUGCCCUGCUGCCUAAAUGUGGGCAGAACCUUGCACUUCAAAAUCGGACCAGGGUCAGGGACCCCUGCACUUUCUGUCUCCAGCCAAACAGCAGGAAUCUGAAUGCAAAAGAUUGGAUCUGUGGCUGCCACUACCCCCAUAAUCUUUCUGCUGGCCUGCCUUCACCAUCCUGGCAUGAAGUCCAUAUGGUGUGCUGUUAGAUGCUGGGCACAUAGCAGCAUCCAGGUACCUGGGACAGGCAGUGUGCUCUGCAUGUGAGAGGAACUAGGAAUCAGCAUUCCAGGAGGUUCUGGAAUUGACUGCUGGGGGAACAGGUCCCGAGACUAAGCGAAAGGUGGUAGCUUUAUUUGGCUGCCCCAGGUCUGUGAGGUUUCACCUAUUCCUCCCUCCCAUGUAAUGUGCAAGAUACCAGUGAAGUCUGAAAGACAGUGGAGCUGCAGAACAGAGGGAACAAUGCUGUAUACUCCACACUCUGCCCCUUUGAGUGUUAAAAAGCAUUGUGACCCAAGACUCAGACCCUGCACAGAGCUUCUAUACCAAAGACACCUGGUACUUAAAACAUC